rnacentral:rRNA from 1 species
ACUCCUACGGGAGGCAGCAGUGGGAAUAUUGCACAAAUGGGCGCAAGCCUGAUGCAGCCAUGCCGCAGUGUAUGAAGAAGGCCUUCGGGUUGAUAAAGUACUUUCAGCAGAUGAGGAAGUGGGUAUGUUAAUAGCAUACUUCAUUGACGUUAGCUGCAGAAAGAAGCACCGGCUAACUCCGUGCCAGCAGCCGCGGUAAUACGGAGGGUGCGAGCGUUAAUCGGAAUUACUGGGCGUAAAGCGCAUGCAGGUGGUUUGUUAAGUCAGAUGUGAAAGCCCGGGGCUCAACCUCGGAAUU